rnacentral:rRNA from 1 species
UACGUAGGGGGGCAAGCGUUUGUCCGGAUUUAUUGGGCGUAAAGAGCGUGUAGGCGGCUUUACAGGUCCGUUGUGAAAACUCGAGGCUCAACCUCGAGACGCCGGUGGAAACCGUAAGGCUAGAGUCCGGAAGAGGAGACUGGAAUUCAUGGUGUAGCAGUGAAAUGCGUAGAGAUCAUGAGGAAGACCAGUGGCGAAGGCGGGUCUCUGGACAGUUCCUGACACUGAGACACGAAGGCUAGGGGGAGCAAACGGG